CGCGCAGGCGGUCUGUUAAGUCUGCGGUGAAAUCCCGGAGCUCAACUCCGGAUAUGCCGCGGAUACUGGCGGACUAGAGACCGGUAGAGGCGAGUGGAAUUCCAGGUGUAGCGGUGGAAUGCGUAGAUAUCUGGAAGAACACCGGUGGCGAAGGCGGCUCGCUGGGCCGGUUCUGACGCUCAGGCGCGAAAGCGUGGGGAGCAAACAGGAUUAGAUACCCUGGUAGUCCACGCCGUAAACGAUGGGCACUAGAUGCCGGGUCUAUAGACGGAUUCGGUGUCGCAGCUAACGCAUUAAGUGCCCCGCCUGGGGAGUACGGCCGCAAGGCUGAA
rnacentral:rRNA from 1 species